AUGUUGGAAGUUAUUAAUGUGAGUUUUUUUUGCACAAAGUGUUGAGCUAACACAAGAAUAAUCUUGCAAUUCCUGCAAUUUCUAUGGGAGCAUGUCUUAGUCUUGUGUUAAUUGCUGAAUGUAAAACCUCCAUUUAUCUUUUGUUUGCUCAUAUUUUGUGUGCUUUCUAAUGUUUGAUUGUUCGAAUUACCAGGAUAAUCUAAAGCACUCAAAAGAAGCGAAGGCAGAAGAAGCUUCGUUUCUCAUUGAUGUUAUGUGUGAUCAACUAAAAUUUGCCCAUCUCGUCCAAUCUUUGUAGAACUAUGUUGUUGUGCGCCUGUGCACUUGUUGGGUCUUUUUGCUGUGCACUUGCACUUGUAGCAUUAUUUUGCUGUGCACUUGUGCACUUGUUGGACCUUGGACCUUGCUGUGUAGAGUAGUUAAUGGAUGAUGUAUUGUAUUUCAUGUGAUGUGUUACUGAAAUGAAAUAUACAAUUUAUCUACAAUAUUGUAUUCUGUUGUACUUGUUUUCAUUCGUGAGAUAUGCAUGCUUCUGAAAAUAAUGCAUCAACCCAAAUAAAUCAGACCAUUUCAAUAAAAAAAGGUAUUGGGCCAGGCCCAUGUAGACUAGAUUGGUGGACUGGGCUAUGAAAUUUAUGAUGAUUCCAUUUGGUCACUAACAAUGCCACGUCAGCUCGGCCACAUCAGAUCCUACGUGGCUCAGGCAAGUGGGUAGUGACCUUUCUAAAAUUUUGGUCGUCAAUCUAGCUAUGACCAAAAUUCCAAAAAGGUCAAGUUUGUUCGUUCUUGACGGCCAACUGUUGACCUUCUGAAUUUGGUCAAAAAAAGGUCAAUAAACAAUAAAUAUGACGAAUCAACGACCAAAAUGAGGAGUCAUAAUUGACUGUAUUUCUUGUAGUGCAUGUUAUAUGACCAAAAUAUCCCUAGACCCACAUGUCAGCUCUAUCUCACAUUGAUAAGUGUAGGGCCCACUUGUCAGGAGUAAGCAAGCGAAUAGAGAAAAUAAGAACAUCAUUGGGGAUCAAGUGUCAUCCACACUUUUAUCGUAGUAAGAUAGAGGGAGAACUAACAAGUGGCUCCAUGGGUAUUUUGGUCAUAUAACAUGGCAAAUGGGCUUUGAGCUGACAAUAAUGGAGUCUAGUUGCAUUUCUAGCAAGCAUCUAAAGGAGCAACUAUUGGGAAACAUAGUAGAAAACAAAACGCACACUCAAGAUCAAUAUGAAGAUGCAUAACGGCUUGGGAUCACGAUCGUUACCGUCACCGAGUUGCAGUGGGAGAAGAACGUGUCGGUGUAGAUCGUACUUGGAAUCCCUCGAACCGUCGAUGGACGAUCCUGCGAACCACCCAUGAACAGUCCCUCAAACCGAAGAUCGAAAGCACAACCCCUCUACUUGGUUGCAAGCAUGCAACCUUCAUGAUCCAGCAGCGGUUCGCCGUGUAGAGCGAAUCAUCGUCGGAGAAUUCAAGGAAGGAGAUUAGAACCACAUGGGGCUUUAUUAUGAUGAUUAGAGGAUUAGUCUAGCUGUACUUAGUUAAUUAGGACCAACUAGAACUAGAAGAACUAGAGGAGGCUCCAAAACUUGUAUCACCAAAGGGUCAAAUCCUGUGGUAUAUAUAGGUUGGAGAGGGGAGAGGAGGUUGUCGGAUUGGAGAAGAUAGGUCUAGAGGGGGUGAAUAGACUCUUAACCAACCAAAGGUGCAGUUUUUAGUUCCCUUGAAAAUUAGGCAGAUUUUGGCACUAGUUAAGAUAUCACCAAGACUUCCUACACAUGCAUAUCUAGAGAAAAGGUAGCGGAAAUAGUAAAGCAUGCAAUUGUGUGGAAAGUAAAGGGUAGAGAUGAAAGAUCAAAUGCAAUGAAGACAUGAAGAUUUUUGGCAUGGUUCUGAUAGGUGGUGCUAUCAUACAUCCACGUUGAUGGAGACUUCAACCCACGGAGGGUAACAGUUUUGUGAGUCCACGGAGGGCUCCGCCCAUGAAGGGUCCAUGAAGAAGCAACCUUGUCCUUUCCAUCAUGGCUUACGCCCACGAAGGACUAGCCUCACUCGGGUAGAUCUUCACGAAGUAGGCGAUCUGCUUACCCUUACAAACUUCUUGGUUCAACUCCACAAUCUGUUGGAGGCUCCCAAGUGACACCUAACCAAUCUAGGAGACACCACUCUCCAAAAGGUAAUAGACAGUGUUGUUGAUGAUGAACUCCUUGCUCUUGUGCUUCAAAUGAUAGUCUCCCCUCAGACACUCUCUCACAGAUUUGGCUUUGGUGGAAGAGAGGAUUGAAUGGAAAGCAACUUGGGAAAGGCUAGAAAUCAAGGUUCAAAUGGUUGGAUUAGAAUCUCUUGAUCUCAACACAUGAGUAGGUGGGUCUCUAUCAGAAAACGAGUAGUGGAAGUUGUGGUUCGUUUUGAUGGCUCUCUUAAAGAGUAGGUGGUGGUGGAGGGGUAUAAAUAGGCAGCACCAAAAAUCCAACAGUUACAAGUCUUUGACCCAACUCAGUGACACUGACAUGGAAAUCUCGGUGAGACCGAUUAGUGCAAAAGUCUUGGCCAUCAGGCUUUUCAGCCAGACCAAACAGAACGACUCGGUGUGAUCGAAGUGCAAUGGCUAGGGAAAGACUUCAUUUUGGUAAUCUGAUCAUUUUAACUCGGUAAUUCCAAAAUGAAACAACUUCACUAUAGAAACUUGGUCACACCAUCUCGGUGGGACCGAGAUCCAUUUUGGUUGUACCGAAACAUUAGGGUUUGCAUGUGGCAGUGUAUGGGUCAUCUUGGUGAGUCCGGAAGGGAACGUUUUGGUGGGACCGAGAUGGACUUUAGGGUUUUGGAUGAAAGUGAUGUGGAGAAAUGGUUGAGGAUUUUGGAGCAAUGCCACUAAGCACUCGAGCAAUUGAGUCAUGAUCAGAACCUCAUCCCAUUUUAAUACUAAUAGCUUUCCUAUGGACUCAACAUGAUCUUGAAUCACUUAACCAAAAAUGUAGAGUCUUGGAGCUUUGCCAAUCCUUGUCCUUAGCAUUUUGAAGGGGUCCACAUCCUCAUGUCCUUGUCAGGCCACUGUUGAACUCAUCUGAAACAUACUAGAUAAGAUUGUUAGUCCAACAAUAUGUAUGUUGACAUUAAUUAACAAAACCACCAAGGGAGCAAGUGUGCUUUCAAUCUCCCCCUUUUUGGUAAUUGAUGACCACACACAUCAAAGCUUCAAGUAAGAAUAUAGCAAAUAGUGUGUUAAAGCUUUGAGAGAACAUGUAACAUGCAUAUGCUCCUCCUGCAAGUGUGCAGACACGUAAAUGAUAGUAGCUCAUGAAAUGUGAGUGCACAACAGGAAGGAAUGAGUAAUGAUUUACAUGUGUCUUGGCUAUAUACAUCAGAGCAACAAGAUGAAAGAGGUACCUUCAUGUCCAUGAUUCUUUCUUGCAAACAAUAUGUGCAACAAGAGAUCAUCAUGCACAUGAGUGUGAUGCAUAUAUUUACCGUGAGGUUCUUGAUCAAGUUCUUGAAGAAAUAAGCUUGAGAAAACAAGGUUAGAUAACACAAGAUAAUUUCUCCAAGAUAGGAUACAACACUAACAAGAGUACCAAGAUUGGCAUGCCAUGUAUGAGGUAAGUAUCACUAGAUGAGUACUCCUUUAGAUGCAGACAUGUCCCCAAAAAUAUCAAAUAAGAUUUGCAAUAGAAUUUCAAGGAUUUUUAUACCCUAAACUUGAACUUCCUCUCCCCCUAAAUCUAACAUUGGAUAAUGGGAGUAGGUAGGGUGAAAUAAAAUCAGAGCAAGCUUUUCUAGCAAGCUGAGCUAGAGCAAAGACAUGCAAUUUCUAGCUUAAAGACUCAACUUGAAUUGUUAACAUGUGUCUCCCCUCUUAGAAACAUAUAGGUUCUCUCCUCUUUUGUAAAAUGCAUCUCUCUUCACUAGGAUAUUCCUUUUGAUUAUAGAAGAGAUUUUUAAUAAGCUUUGAUGUGCAUCUCUAUUCCCCUUUGACAUCAGUUCUGAGAAGGGUCUAGCUUCAAGGUUAUGUGUCAAGUGGGUGUGGUCCUAGAGAGGCACAACUAGGCAUGCUAUAAUUUUAUAUGCAUGUAGAGGGAAAGAAUCAUUGACUGGAGCUAGAUAAAGAAAAUAAAUAAUUUGACAAAAGGUUCUUUCUACAGUGAAGUUGGUGGCUCCGAUUUGUUUCAAUCGAUGACUCCGAGUUGGGAUGUUCAUAGAUAGAGCACAUCAGCUGGUCCAAGUUAGUCCUUUUUGGUUGCACCGAUGAACUGUGUGCAGGGUUUAGGUGCACUUCGGUUUGACCGAUGUGUCCCCAGUCGGAAGAACCGAGUUCAUCAUAGCGAGAAAAUUUUGUAUACUUGACUCACUUGCACUUGAGUUCUCACAAGUAUUUUUAGGGAAUUCGAAUAAGAUUUGCAAUGAAUUGACUAGAAACUAUCUAAAGAGAAGAACAUGAAUAGAAAGGGAUCUAGAUGAAGUUUUUCUUUGAAAGGGAAAGCACUCUAGCAAGAAGAAAAACAAAGUAAAGAGACAUUAGAGAACAUCAUCUAGAAGGGGGGUCGGCUACUAGGUCACCUAUGUUAGAGUAUAUUGACUUAGGAGUCAAGUGAGAUCACUUGAUCAUAGGUCAUACUCAUCGUUAAUCUUAAAAUGGGGUUACCAUUUUUUAAGCAUUUCAAUGUAUUCACAUCUUGUUGAGUUGCUUUGACUGAUGUUUUUGAGUAAUGCUUCUCUGAAAUGUGAGGACUUACAUUGGGUUUAGUGUAGAUGUUCAUCAUGUAGUUGAACUUGAGGUGGGUGCUCAUUGAAUAAAGUUGAGAGCAAUCCUUUCAUUUGUAGUUCAUCUUACUACAUGGGUUAGUUUUGCAAGGAACAACAUAUGAGUCCAAAUUGACAAGAGUGGAACAUAGAGUCAUAAAUUAUCAAAAGGAUAUGUUUGAGUUGUCUUGUUCCUUGGGCACACCAAAUACUAUAGAUACUUGUUUCAAUUUCCCUUGCUCAAUAUAGGAGUUUUGAGAGCAAGCUUCAUGGAAUGAUGUAUAUUCAAGCACCUAUAAGGGUUAGGUGCAAUAAAAGGGAGCAACGUAUCCAAGAUAUGAAAUGACCAUCAUAAGAGAAACAUCAAGGAUUAGCCAUAAUAGCUCGUGCCCUUGCAUGUAUCCAAGUGAGUGUCUAGUUCAUGCUAGAAGCAUCAAUGACAUUCAACUCACUUCUGAAGUGAAAAAAUAUCUUCUCAUCAAGAGGUUUAGUGAAGAUAUCCGCCAAUUGUUUAUCGGUACGAACAUGCUUGAGGUUAAUGUCACCUUUAGCAACAUGAUCUCGAAUGAAAUGAUGACGAACCUAAAUAUGCUUAGUUCGAUAAUGUUGCAUGGGGUUGUGUGCAAUCUUAAUAGCACUCUCAUUGCCACAUAGCAAUGGCACAUGUCUCACAUGUAUCCCAUAAUCUUUGAAAGUUUGUGUCAUCCAUAGUAGUUGAGCACAACAUGAUCCAACUGCAAUGUAUUCCGCUUCAGUGGUGGAUAGAGAUACCAAAUUUUGUUUCUGGAAGACCAAGAUGAUGUCUACUACGCAACCUUCUUAUUGUAGACUCUUGUUGGGCCUCCAAGCGCAGAUUUUUGUAGGACAGUAGCAAUUUUCCCUCAAGUGGAUGACCUAAGUUAAGGAAAUAUGCCCUAGAGGCAAUAAUAAAGUUGUUAUUUUAUAUUUCCUUAUUCAUGAUAAAGGUUUAUUAUUCAUGCUAUAAUUAUAUUGAUCGGAAACCUAAAUACAUGUGUGAAUACAUAAACAAAUACCGUGUCCCGAGUAAGCCUCUACUAGACUAGCUCGUUGAUCAAAGAUGGUCAAGGUUUCCUAACCAUAGACAUGUGUUGUCAUUUGAUAACAAGAUCACAUCAUUAGGAGAAUGAUGUGAUGGACAAGACCCAUCUGUUAGCUUAGCAUUUGAUCGUACAGUUUAUUGCUACUGCUUUCAUGUAUGUCGAAUACAUAUUCCUUUGACUAUGAGAUCAUGCAACUCCCGGAUACCGGAAGAGUGCCUUGUGUGCUAUGAAACGUCACGGCAUAAUUGUGUGAUUAUAAAGAUGAUCUACAGGCAUCUCCGAAGGUGAUUUGUUGGGUUGGCAUGAAUCGAGAUUAGGAUUUCUCACUCCAAGUAUCGGAUAGGUAUCUUUGGGCCCUCUUGGUAAUACACAUCAUAAUAAGCCUUGCAAGAAAAUGACCAAUGAGUUAGUCACGGGAUGAUGUAUUACGAAACGAGUAAAGAGACUUGCCAGUAACUAGAUUGAACUAGGUAUAGAGAUACCGAUGAUCGAAUCUCGGGCAAGUAACAUACCGAUGAACAAAGGGAAUUGCGUAUGUUGUCAUAACGGUUUGACCGAUAAAGAUGUUUGUAGAAUAUGUAGGAGCCAAUAUGGGCAUCCAGGUUCCGCUGUUGGUUAUGGACCGGAGAGGUAUCUCGGUCAUGUCUACAUAGUUUUCAAACCCGUAGGGUCCCCACGCUUAAUGUUCGAUGUCGAUUUGGUAUUAUAUGAGUUAUGUGGUUUGGUGACCGAAUGUUGUUCGGAGUCCCAAAUAUGAUCAUGGAUAUGACGAGGAGCUCUGGAAUGGUCCGGAUAUAAAUAUUGAUAUAUAGGACGAUAGUAUUCGGACUCCAUAAUGGUUUUGGAAUGCACCGGAAUGUAUCGAGUCACCGGAAGGGUUUCUUGGGCUUAAUGGGCCAUAUGAGGGGACAAAACCAGCCCACAGGGGGCUGGUGUGCCACCUCCAGGCCGUAGCACAAGGAGAAGUAAGGGAGAGGACUCCUUCCUUUUCUUCUCACAAGGAGAAGGAAAGAGAGGGGGCGCCUCCCCCUCCCCCCCCGCAAAGAUUUGGAAAGCGGGGGCGCACCUAGUUGGAUUCGGCCAGCCCUUUGGGGGGGGGCGCCCUAGGGCUGCCUCCUCCCCUCCCACUCCAAUAUAUAUGUGGGAGGGGUGCCACACAAAGGCACAGGAUUAUUCCACGUCGUGUGUCAGCACCCCUCCGCCUCUAGUUUCUCCUCCAUUCUAGAUCAUCGCACCGCUUAGGCGAAGCCCUACGGUAUCACUUCACCACCACCGUCACCACACCGUUGUGCUACCGGAACUCAUCACCUUAUUGCUACACUUGCUGGAUCAAGACGGCGAGGAUGGCACUGAGCUGAACAUGUGCAGAACGGGGAGGUGACGCGUGUUUGGUACUUGAUCGGUUGAAGCCUGAAGAAGUUCGACUACAUCAACCGCGUUUUGAAACUCUUCAGCUUUCGGUCUACGAGGGUAUGUAGACAUACUCUUCCCCUCAUUGCUAUGCAUCUCCAUGGAUAGAUCAUUGUUCGUGCGUAUAAUUUUUUUGUUUUCCAUGCAACGUUCCCAAGAGUGGCAUCAUGAGCCAGGUCUAUGCGUAGGAUAUGCACGAGUAGAACACAAAGAGUUGUGGUCGGUGAUAGUCAUACUGCUUACCACCAAUGUCUUAUUUUGAUUCGGCGGUAUUGUGGGAUGAAGUGGCCCAAACCAACCUUACAUGUCCACACACAUGAGACCGGUUCCACCGACAGACAUGCAACUUGUUUUGCAUAAAGGUGGCUGGCAGGUAUCUAUUUCUCCAACUUUAGUUGAAUCGAAUUUGACUAUGGACGAUCCUUGUUGAAGGUUAAGACAACAAAUUUGAUAAAUCACCGUUGUGGUUUUGAUGCGUAUGUAAGAACGGUUCUUGCUAGAAGCCCGUAGCAGCCACGUAAAACUUGCAACAACAAAGUAGAGGGCGUCUAACUUGUUUUUGCAGGGCAUGUUGUGAUUGAUAUGGUCAAUACAUGAUGUGAUAUACGUUAUUGUAUGAGAUGAUCAUGUUUUGUAAAAGUUAUCGGCAACUGGCAGGAGCCUUAUGUUUGUAGCUUUAUUAUAAAAGUUAUCGGCAACUGAAAGUGCGUUAUAUUGACUAGAGGGGGGUGAAUAGGCAAUUUUUAUGAAAGUCUUCAAAACGUGGGAGUUAUGAAGACAGAGAGUGAAGAUAUGCCUAUUACUAUGCAGCGGAAGUUAGAUUACACUAGGCAAGCCAUGGUCAAGUAUUCAAUAGAGUGAAAGCACAAUGACAAAUAGCUGCAGUGUAAUAAGGAUCAGGUAGGAAGAAGUUAUGAAGCCAAACAGAUCAUACAUUCACGUUGUGAAGACAAAAGGUAGAGCAAGCAUGCAAUGGCUUCACAAUGAGUAACAGUAAUAAAAGGGGAAGUGAAGAUGAAACCAGUGACUCGUUGAAGACAAUGAUGUGUUGGACCAAUUCCAGUUGCUGUGACAACUGUACGUCUGGUUGGAGCGGCUAGGUAUUUAAACCUUAGGACACAUAGUCCCGGACACCCAGUCCUGAACACGCAGCUCAGGACACCAAGUCCUCACCGUAUUCUCCUUGAGCUAAGGUCACAUAGUCCUCGCCCAAUCACUCUGGUAAGUCUUCUAGGUAGACUCCCAAACCUUCACAGACUUCGUUCACUGGCAAUCCACAAUGUCUCUUGGAUGCUCUGAACACGACGCCUAACCGUCUGGGGAUGCACAGUCCUCAAGUGUAUAAGUCUUCAGAUCACACAGACAAGAAGACUUAAGUGAUGCCCAAUUCUAUUUGGCUUUGGGUGGUUAGGGCUUUUCUCCUCGCUAGGAAUUUUCUCUCAAAGGCUUCGAGGUGGGUUGCUCUCAAACGAUAAAAGCCGUGCACUGAAAUCUGAGCAGCCAACCGUUUACGGUUGUUGGGGUGGGCUAUUUAUAGCCACUUGGCAACCCGACCUGAUUUUUCCGAAAUGACCCUGGGUCACUAAGGAACUGACACGUGUCUCAACGGUCAGAUUUCAAACUCUCAUGGCAACUUUACUUGGGCUACAAGCAAAGCUGACUUGUCCGGCUCUGGAAAAGAUUCGCUCUCAUUGUCUUCACUCAAAGACAUAGGUUUUAGGUUUAGGCAUCACUUCAGUCAUUCUGACUGGUUCUCCUGGACCCCACUUAACAGUACGGUGGUUCCUAUGACUCAACACAAAAGAAAAAGAACUACGAAAGAUCUAAGUCUUCGAGCUCCAUAGGCUUCAUAACAUGUCUUCUUUUGUCAUAGUCUUCAAUAUGAAUAUCUUCAUAUACCACCUUUGGCUUCAAUGUCUUCAUACAUUCUUAGGGGUCAUCUCUGGUAGUAAAACCGAAUCAUUGAGGUACUUCUACCUGUGUUAUCCUACAAUUCUCACAAACACAUUAGUCCCUCAACUAGGUUUGUCAUCAAUACUCCAAAACCAACUAGGGGUGGCACUAGAUGCACUUACAAUCUCCCCCUUUUUGGUGAUUGAUGACAAACUAGUUGAAGUUUUCAACGAGGAAUAUAGUCUAUGAAAUUGUAAAGGAUAAGGAAUUGUCUUCAUAAGUUGCAAGGGCUCCCCCUGAAGAUGUGCAUAUAAGUUAAUUUGCUUUUGGAAUGCAAAUGCACAUGGCAGGUUGUACUUGAGGAGAUCCACUUCAGCUUAUGAUGACAAUCCACUAUGCAUGUGAAAGUAUAUGAAGAUAAUGACAUGCAUAAUGGAAAACGGACGUCUACAGAAUGAGAUAAGUGCGGAAUUUAUCGUCGCACAUGCGGAAUUUAUCUUCGCAAAACAGGGUGGCAAACAAGUAGGAGACGACCAUCGAGUUUUAGUGUUACAACUCAAAGAACCAAAUGAAGCAAAAAUGAGAGUUGUAAGCACGAAGCAAAAUAUAGCAAAACAUAAAGCACCCGCCCAUAUGGACCCGCUUGAAGACUAUCAACCCAUGUGCUUCUCCCCCUUUUGUCAGCAAGGACCAAAAAGGUUUGAAGACGUAGAGUGUCUAUUCGUUCCCAGAAGCAGCAGGGUCAUUGGAGGUGUUUGGCGGUGCAAAAGAGCUUGGAGGUGCUGAAGCAGGUGGCGGUGAUGUAGCAUCGUCUUCUUCAUCAAUGAUUCUGGCAGUGACUGUGGCAGCAGAUGAAGAAAACUCAGAGUCUUCAAGUGAUGGUGUGUUUCGCAUCACAUCCCUUCUAGGAGGUGUGGUGUCAAACUUGAAUCGCUCAGUGAAGCCAUCCUCUUCAAGUUCAGCUUCAGUACACAUCAUUGAUAGUCCUUUCCAUGUACGACGACAGGUUUCAUGAGUGACGAAAGCAUUCUUGGUGGCAAGAUUUCAAAGACGAUUAACAUCCACCAAGAGGCUUUUCAUCUGUCGCUUUAGCCAGUCGUGAUGCCUAUCUUGUUUUUGAUGAAGGGCCACAAGAAGCUCUCGGUUAUUGAGAACACGAGCGCGCUUCUUGGGUCUUGAAGCAGUUGCACUAUCAGUGGCUUCAGUUGAAGUAGGGUGUGGCGCACGUGUAGUGCCAGCCAAAGGAUACACCCUGGAGAUGGCUUCAACACCUUCAUCGUUCUGAGUGAAGCUCUGGUAUUCUGCAUUCUGAAGACUCAAAGGUUGCUUGGCAGGCUCAGGAUAUAUAGGCAGAGGUAUCCACAUCUGGCAAGAAGAUCCAAUGGUUGCGGGCUGAGGGCUGAUAUGAGAUCGCAGAGUGAAGCUUGAUCAGUCUCAUUACCCAAGGAGCAUAGUACUUUAAACCAAACAGAUCUGAGCCUGAUGCAGCUAGUUGGCGUAUGAAGAAAUCCUGUGCGUUGAAGCAUUUGCCAUGAAGGAUACAGAAUAUCAGAGUCUUCAUUGCACCCUUGAUCUUGGCAUUUGGAGAGUGCCCUUUAAUAGGCCAGAGAGUCCGCCGGAUAAUGUGAUAGAUGGUUCUGGGCAGGUACUCAAAGUCUUCAAUGAAGAACUCUGUUGGAUAAGGAGCAUCGUGGGGCAAUGGCUUCAUCAUGGAGAGCAUCUGACUCAUAUUUGGUUCAGGCCUCUGGAAUAUGCUCUCAAGAGCUUCAGUGUGUAGUGGACAGCCUUCCUCGAAGAGUUCGCCAGGAGUGGGCAGGCCGGUGAGCUCAAUUAUAUCGAAUGCAUUGGCUUCGUGAUGGACAUCGUCGGUCAUCCACUCCAGGGCCCAAGUCUUCGGAUCUCUGUUGUAUCCUUUGAUGUGUAGGGUGGCAUAGAAUUGCAACAGAAGCUCUUCAUUCCAGUGCUCUUCAUCAGUUAUAAACUGCAGCAGACCCACUUGCUUGAAGCAAUCCAAUGCUUCCUCUAAACAGGGCAGACCAGCAAUGGCUUCAACAUCAAGACGCUUGUGCGGGAAGAUGCGGCCUUGGUUGUAUAGGAUGCAUGAAUAGUAGCUGCGCUGAGGAUAGCUCCAGAACCUAUCUGAUGAAAUCCUUUCCCUUGAAUAGGGGUUCUUGGAGCUGUUGAAAAACGUAUUGUCUGCCUUGAAGCUAUUGAUGUCAAAGGAGCCAGGUGCUGAUGCAGGACCUGGGAACCUUGGCAGCCUUGGGACUGGCUUCUAGACAUGAGGCCCGUGCUCAACAUGGUAAUCAAAUUGAGGACCAGCAGAAGACUCAGGAACAGAAGUGUCUGGAUCAGUAGCUUCGCUGUCUACUGAAGCUUUUGGUGGGGAGGGCUCCACAUUGGCUUCAGUGUUGGUUGUGGCAGCCUCAAUAUUUUCAGCCUCCACUUGACUAGCUGGAGGGUCAGUCACAAGCACGUUCUCCUGGAGAACUGCUUCUUGGUGGAGCAUUGGAUUGGGCUCUUGUGGUGCUUCUUCUGCGGCUGAUGCAGCCGGAAUGUCUUCAGCAUAGACUUGAGGCCUUGGACCUUUGCGAAGCCUGCGGAAUGCAGACGAAGCCUGUGGGGUUGGAGUAGGCUGGGCCUCAUUGUCUUCUUCCUCUUGAUGGCGAUCCGCCCAUGAUGCAUCUUGUGCAAUUGGCGUCAGAGGACGACCAAUGCUGAUGAGUUCGCUUUGUUCAUACUGAGGAAGGGCUGCAUCAUAUUGUACAUUGUCCUGAUGACCAAUGUCUUCAGCAGCAAUGGGGUCGGCUGCUAGUAUGUCUUCAGCUUCAGGAGCCUCUGUGGAAGCAGGCUCAUGAACUGUCAGUUGUCAUUCUGCGUUGGGGUGAACCAUAGAGAUAGGUUCAACUAUCAAGGGCUCUGUGGGAGCAGCCCGCGAUUUCUUGAUCUUUUGCUUCUUCUUGCUGGGGGCAGUAGGAGAGGCUUCAGAGCUUUUCCUCUUCCUGGCUUCAGCCUCAGCAGUUCUUGUCUUCUUGAGCUCUGAAGCUGUUGACCGGCUCUUUGGCUUCGAGCCAGUCGUUGCAGUUGGGAAGACAAUUGGAACUACUUCUUGCCUAGGUGCCUCUGGUUCAGCCAUAGCAGGCUUCUUCUUCUUCUUCGCGGCCAUCUUGGGGUCGAUGCCUGGACGCCCAAGUGCCUUGCGCUUCUCAGCCUCAUUGUAGGCUUGUACACAUCUUUCAGCCAGAGACUUCAUCCGCUCACAUGAUCCCUUAGCUUCUGCAUGCUUCUUCAGAAAAUUUUCCUUGAGCUCAUGCAACAUGGUCUUGAAGCUCUUCACUUCUUGCACGCUGAGCUUGGCCAUAUUCUUCUUGAACUGAGCCUUUUCAUGAUCAAUUUUCUGCUUCAGUUCAACAAUGCGCUGGGCAAUGGCAAGUUCUGAAGCAAUUGCGCCUUGGAAGGCGACGCUGAGGCCAACAGGCAGCUGCAGAUCUUCGAAGCUGAUGUUUGGUGUGGCAAACCAUUCGUCGAUGAAGUUGUGGAUGAUGGCGACAUCAAAGAGAGGCAAAUUGUUGAAGAUUUCAGCUUCUUCUUUGCUCUUGAUGAGCUGCUCUAGAGCGUCAUCUCCAAGAUCUUCAUCACUUGACAGAUCAAUGGCUUCGCUGCGCAGAAUGGCAGCAGCUGUGAGCUCUUUGCCGGUGUGUGGCUGAGGCACCUUGGCCUUCUGGGGCUUGGAGACGCGGGAUACGUCUUCAGACUGCACACUGUCUUCAGGAGGUGCAGUUGCCAAUGGCUUCGCCCUUGAGAUUUUUGAAGAAGGGGCCGGCUUUGAAGCUUUUGGCUUCUUCGACUGCUUUGGCUUCGGUACAACAGGAGCUUCAUCAGACUCAGAGUCAGCUGGAGGGUCAUUCACGGCAGUCCCUUGGACUAAGAUGCGGGUGAUGAGGCCCUCAAGAUUGGCAUACAGACCGAUGAUAUUGGGUUCUGCGUAGCGUGUGCCAUCUGCCCUUGGUGCCGAGGAACCAGGGUUGAAGUCUAACCCCAACUUCUUCUUGUUCUGCUUCGCUGAUUGUUGGGCAAACUGGAAGUUGCACUUGAAUAGAUUGUCGUCACGACACAAGAGUAGUGACGACGGAUGUGCAUCAUCAGGCUGUGGCCCACGAACCAUGCAUGGAUAGAAGCUUUGGGCAAUAGCUUCAUCUCUGGACCUGGGUACAAGGUUUUUGUAUAAGAUGUCUCCCCACGGUCUUUUGAUGGCACUUUUCUCAGCAUACUCUUGGGUUGUGAAGCGGUAUUUGAACCAUUGUGCAGCCCAAUAGCGUCGAAUCCAUUGGAUUCAGGUCUUGCGCUGCCCAUAAUUCUCUUCAGGAUUUGUUUUAUACAUUUCUGCCAGGUCUUCAGGCAGAUCUUUGGAAGUUCCUUCACAUCGCUGUCUGCCCCCCUUCCUUUCUGCUGCUUCUGAAGCCAUAAACUUUAACUUGAAAGGCUUCAAAACUUUCAAAGGCUUCAAAGGCUUUCUUUUGCUGGACCAACAGGAACUGGCUUCAGGAGAAUUUAUGUGAUGCUGUAGGAAUUCUGCAAAUGAAUGCAGACUAUGAGAAUCGAAGGAUUCUCCCACGGACAUGUACCUGUGACAGCAUUAAGGUGCGAGGGAAGGGGAAGAUGUCAUAUGCAUUCUCAGAAGGUUUUGAAGAUUAAUCAGUUUAGAAGACAUUGACCUCAUGGUGCGAAGACAUUCACUCAUAGAUAAGAAGUUGGUUCCAGAUUUGUACGAACCCACAGAUCAGUACAAGUGAGGAAUCUAACUACUUCAUGAAGCACAAGUGAAUAUACUAGGCAUGUUAUGAGAUGCAGAUUGAGAGAUCUAACUUGUGUGAAGAGAAACUUCUUAUGGUAGAAAGUGACAGAUCCAUGAGAUCAAAAGGGGCUGUAAAAAGAAGUUUUAUUUACCACACUUGGAACUGCUAGACGGAGUGGGAGAUGAUGCCGAGCAGUUCAGUCCUCCGUGCCCUAACUUGGCGACGGAAGACACCUACGGCGAUGGCGGAGAGAACAAUGUCCGCGGUCGGCGUGAGGACGGCGUCGGAGAGGUUGCGACAGCGAAGCGCUUCGUCGCCGGCGUCGUCGAGUGCUAGCGGUGGCGCUAGGGUUCGUGCGAGGGUGGAAGAAGGAGAUAAUGACCGCGGUAAGUGUGAAUUUAUAGGCACAGGGGCGGCACUGUGCUAUUACACAGGUGCCCCUGGCGAUUCGCAUCUGAGGAACGCGUGGUCAGUUUGCGGAAGUUUGGGGUUUGUUCCAUGUCCCACGCACGCCUGGAUUGUCGGGCGGUCGUUCCUGCUUCUCCGGAUUUUAUGUGGAGGAAUGAACAUUGAAAACGGACUUUAUGGUUGUCUCUAUAUCUUCUGCUGACAAGGACUCAGUGAAGACAUUCGACAGUUUCAAUAGAAUGCAUAUGACUUGGAGAGAUAGAAUUUGAGAUAGAAAGCAUAGAGAGAUUAGGGUCCGAUCACAUUCACUUAGUUCAAAAGAUUCAACCAAGAAGACAUAGCUAUAAGUGAAUGCUGUAGAGGACAGAACACUAGCAUAUAUAUAUAUAUAUAUAUAUAUAUAUAUAUAUCUGUAGUCAACAUAGUGAAGAUGAUCAUGAAAAUAUGUUGAGUUCGAAGCCAAAUCAAAGAUGAAGACAUUGCAAGGUAACGCCAUGAGUGAAACACUUCAAAAUGGAACGUUUGGUGGUGGCGUUACCCACCAUAUAGGAAGUAUUAGACCCAGACACGGCGCACAAUUACCGUGGCGCUCCGAAGUCAAAUUCCACAUUAAUGUAUUCACACUUAGAAUGUAUGUCUUCAUUGAUUGAAGAUAUACUUUACUUUGUGCAUUGCACAUCUAAGUCAUCAUAUGCAUAAGUGUUAGGAUGUGUGCCUGAUCACAGGACAUUUGAGGAUUCCAGGAUAUUUAGCUCACACCGUAACUUGCAAAACCUCUUCUCAUCCAAGGGCUUGGUGAAGAUAUCUGCCAAUUGCUCUUCAGUGUUGACGUGUAUGAUAUCAAUGUCUUCCUUCACAACAUGAUCUUUGAGAAAGUGAUGACGAAUUUCAAUGUGCUUUGUCUUCGAGUGCUGAACUGGGUUGUUGGCAAUCUUGAUGGCGCUUUCAUUGUCGCAGUAAAGUGGUACUUGCUUCAGAUGAAUGCCAUAAUCCUUGAGUGUUUGCUUCAUCCACAGAAGCUGAGCGCAGCAAGAUCCAGCAGCAAUGUAUUCAGAUUCAGCAGUGGAGAGAGAUACACAGUUCUGCUUCUUUGAAGACCAACAUACAAGUGAUCGUCCCAGAAAGUGACAUGUGCCUGAUGUAGACUUGCGAUCAACUUUGUCACCAGCGUAAUCAGCAUCCGAAAAUCCAACCAAAUCAAACUCUGAGCCCUUUGGAUACCAUAAUCCUAGAGUUGGGGUGUGUGCCAAAUAUCGAAGAAUUCGCUUCACAGCCAAGUGAUGCGACUCCUUUGGUGCCGCUUGAAAUCGAGCACACAUGCAAACACUAAGCAUAAUAUCUGGCCUAGAUGCACAUAAAUAAAGCAAAUAACCAAUCAUGGAGCGGUAUACCUUUUGAUCGAACUCUUUACCAUUGUCGUCAGGACCUAGAUGAUGUUUGGCUGGCAUUGGUGUUGUGAAGCCUUUGCAGUCUUGCAUACCGAACUUCUUCAGGCAAUCUUUGAGAUACUUCUCUUGAGAUAUGAAGAUGCCAUUGCGUUGUUGUCGUAUUUGAAGACCAAGGAAGAACUUCAGCUCCCCCAUCAUGGACAUCUGAUAUUGCUCUUGCAUCAUAUAUCCAAACUCUUCACUGUACUUCUGAUUGGUGCAGCCGAAGAUAAUUUCAUCCACAUAUAUUUGGCACACAAAUAGUUCACCAUCAUAUGUCUUCGUGAAAAGAGUGGGAUCUAGGGAACCAGGCAUGAAGCCUUUGCUCUUCAGGAAAUAUUUGAGUGUGUCAUACCAGGCCCUAGGGGCUUGUUUGAGGCCAUACAGUUCCUUGUUGAGCUUGUAUACCAUGUCAGGAUGUUUUGGAUUUUCAAAGCCAGGCGGUUGUGCAACAUACACUUCUUCUUCAAUCUUGCCAUUGAGAAAGGCACUUUUCACAUCCAUUUGAUAUAGAAGUAUGUUAUGAUGAUUUGUAUAGGCCAGCAGUAUGCGUAUGGCUUCAAGCCUAGCCACAGGAGCAAAUGUUUCAUCGAAGUCAAUGCCUUCCACUUGAGUAUAUCCUUGAGCAACGAGACGAGCUUUGUUUCUGACAACUUGACCAUGCUCAUCUUGUUUGUUGCGGUUUAUCCAUUUGGUGCCUAUUAUGUUGUGCUUCCAUGGAUCAGGACGCUUAACCAGUUCCCAUACAUUAUUCAGCUCAAACUAUUGAAGCUCUUCUUGCAUAGCUUGAAUCCAUUCAGGUUCCAUGAAGGCUUCUUCAACUUUCUUGGGUUCUGAUAUUGAGACGAAUGCGAAGUGCCCACAGAAAUUUGCUAGCUGAGUUGCCCUUGAACGAGUGAGUGGACCAGGUGCAUUGAUGCUAUCUAUUAUUCUGUCAAUCUGCACUUCAUUGGCAACACGAGGAUGUACAGGGCAAAGACUUUGCUCUUGCUGAUCUGUGUUGCUGUUGGGAGGAAUGUCUUCAGGCUGAGCAUUGUCUUCAUGUUGAUCAGGUGCUGAGAUGAUAAGUUCUUCUUCAGGAUGAGCUUCAGAAGGUAUAAUCUCUCUAGUUCCCAUUAGCUUGAUUGAUUCACUAGCUGGAAUUUCAUCUAGCACAUUUGGCAGUUGCUCUCUUUGUGAACCAUUUGUCUCAUCGAACCGCACAUCCACUGUCUCAACCACUUUGUAAUGAAAGAGAUUGAAGACUCUGUAGGAGUGCGAAUCCUUUCCAUAUCCAAGCAUAAAACCCUCAUGUGCUUUUGGUGCAAACUUUGAGGUGUGGUGUGGGUCCUUGAUCCAGCACUUGUGCCAAAUACUCUGAAGUAACUAACAUUUGGCUUUUUGCCAGUAAGGAGCUCAUAUGAUGUCUUGUUCAGAAGCUUGUGAAGAUAAACAUGAUUGAUUGUAUGGCAUGCAGUGUCAAUGGCUUCAGUCCAGAAUUUUCUUGGAGUCUUGUAUUCAUCUAGCAUCGUUCUGGCCAUCUCAAUGAGCGUUCUGUUCUUGCGUUCGACGACGCCAUUCUGCUGUGGCGUGUACGGAGCUGAGAAUUCAUGUGUGAUGCCCAAGGUAUCAAGAUAUGUAUCAAGGCCAGUGUUCUUGAAUUUAGUGCCAUUUUCACUUCUGAUGUGCUUUAUCUUGGCGCCAAAAUUGUUCAUAGCACAAUUGGCGAAGCGUCUGAAGACAUCCUGCACUUCAGUCUUGUAAAGGAUUAUGUGCACCCAAGUAUAUCUAGAGUAAUCAUCAACAAUGACGAAGCCAUAGAGGCAAGCAGUAGUAGUAAAAGUUGAGUAGUGAGUGGGACCGAAAAGAUCCAUGUGGAGCAGUUCGAAGGGUUGAGUAGUAGUCAUGAUUGUCUUCGAAGGAUGUUUUGCCCUCGUCAUCUUCCCUGCUUCACAGGCACCGCAUAAGUGAUCUUUCUUGAACUUGACACCCUCGAUGCCUAUGACAUGCUUCUUCUUCGCAAGGGUGUGGAGGUUCCUCAUGCCAGCAUGCCCAAGCCUCCGAUGCCAAAGCCAGCAUUCUGAAGCUUUUGCAAGUAGACAUACUGCAAGUUGUGGCCCUGCUGAGAAAUCUACCACGUAUAGAUCAUCUUUUCGAUACCCUUCAAACACUAGAGACUUGUCAGAUUCCAUUAGUACUAGGCAAUGAUAUUUUCCAAACAUUACGAUCAUGUUCAAAUCGCAAAGCAUUGAGACAGACAUUAAGUUGAAGCCAAGGGAUUCAACAAGCAUGACUUUAUCCAUGUGUUGAUCCUUUGAGAUUGCAACUCUACCUAGACCCAAUACCUUACUUUUACCAGUGUCAGCAAAUGUGAUGUGGCUCUUGUCGGAUGGACGUAGGGUUGAGUCCAUAAGAAGGCUUCUUUUGCCAGUCAUGUGAUUUGUACACCCACUGUCAAUAAUCCAUUCUGAAGACUUUGAAGACGCUGGUGCCGUACCCUACAGUGCAGUUAGGGGGAUAGGCUUCACGAAGAGAAUUGUGAAGCAAAAACAUUUGACGAACCAGUGGGUUAUGAAAACUUAGAUCCAGAUUAGGACUAAUAGGGAGAGUAGCAUGCAAUUCAGGAAUGAAGUACAUAAUGAUGCCAUUCGGGCAUUUUAUCUUGCGCCCUACAAGAUUUUUAAGGUCCCCAGCAAUAGUGUCAGAAGAUUUUGUUUUUCUGCUGGAGACCUUUCCCUGCAAAAGAGAGUUAAGCUUUCUUAACCACCCACAUCUUCAAGGGUGGCUUAGAAGCAAUAAGUCUAAGUGCAGCAUCUGAGAAUUUUGGCUUUGAAGCCUUAGCAAACAGUCUUGCAGGUGGACAAUAAUACUCAUAGGAAUAAGCAGAAUAAUUUUUGGUCAUAUGAACAUGAUGGUUCGAUGAACCGCUCUCAUAUUCAUAUGCGUGAGUAUGGUUUCCCUGCAAAACAUUUGCGUUAGUGUGACUCAGGUGAGUCCUCUAUUUGUAUGAAGCCUUUGGACCGUAUGAAGCCUUGGGUCUGAGGUUUGUCUUCUUCGAGUGAGGUGUCAUGAAGACAUUCACAGGAAGAUUUUCCAGACACUUUUUCGGAACCCAGAUCUUCUUCAUAGGCAGUCCAUUCCUGCAGUUAGUACCAAUGUACCUGGCAAACACUUCACCAUUCUGAUUCUUAAACAGUUUAUAGUUUGCAUCAAAGGAUUCAUCAAUAAUAAUGGGGUUAGCACAUGUGAAGCCAGAUAAAUUUGAUGGAUCUGCUGAAGGUUCCUUUGCAGCAACCCAUGUGGUUUUGGGGUACUGCUCAGGUUUCCAGUAAGAGCCAUCUGCAUUUAUUUUCCUUACGAACCCAACACCGUCUUUCCUAGGGUUUUGGUUCAGAAUCUGCUUCUUGAGGACAUCACAUAAUGUCUGAUGUCCUUUAAGACUUUUGUACAUCCCUGUUUCAAGCAAUGUCUUCAACCUAGCAUUCUCAUCAGCAAUAGCAGUGGUAUCCUUAGCAGAGGGGUUAGUUACCACAUUAACAGUUGAAGAUAUUGCAACAGCAGUAGCAGUGGAACAUUCAGCAACAGAAGUAGCAUUAUCACGCUCAAUGCAUUUAAGACAUGGUGGUUCAAAUCCUUCCUGAGUGGAACUGAUCUGUUCAGCGCGAAGUGACUCGUUUUCCUUUUGAAGAUCUUCAUGAGCCGCUCUCAAUUUCUCAAGUUCUUGCUUCCUUUGAAGAUAAUCAUAAGAAAGCUUUUCAUGAGUUGUUGAGAGAGUAUCAAGACGAUCUUCAAGUUCCUGAUACUUAACGUGAAGAUUUUUUAUGUCUUCAAUUAAGGAUUCAGAUCGAGUCAUUUCAGCACCCAACAGAUCAUCGCUUCUGUCUAACAGAUUUUGAAUAUGUUCCAUUGCCUUUUGUUAUUCAGUUGCAAUUUUGGCAAGUGUUUUGUAACUGGGUUUUGAAUCACAAUCAGAGUCAUUGUCACUGGAUGUUUGAUAGCAAGUAGUGCAUGUGUUUACCUUGGCACCACGUGCCAUGAAGCAGUAGGUAGGAGUGGAGUCGUUCUUGUCAUUUGCAUCGGUGUCGGUGAUGAAGUCAUUGUCUUCAGUGUUGAAGAUGGACUUGGCGAUGUAUGCUGUAGCCAGACUCGCAAUGCCAGAAUCAGACUCCUCCUCAGACUCCACCUCUGCCUCCUCAGAAGUGGACUCCUCCUCUGAAUCCAUUUCCUUGCCAACAAAGCACGUGCCUUGCCAGAUGAGCUCUUCUUGUGUGAUGAAGACUUUGAGGAAGACUUGGAAGAAGACUUUGAGUAUUUCUUCUUCUUUUUGUCGUCAGAAUCAUAUUCCUUGCUCUUCUUCUUCCUUCUGUUCUCAUUGUCCCACUGUGGGCACUCAGAGAUGAAAUGUCCAGUUUUCUUGCACUUGUGACAUGUUUUCUUCUUGUAGUCAUGAGCAGAAGCUUCAUCAUUCCUUGAGCUUCAUCGUGAAGAUUUUCUGAAGACUUUCUUCUUGGUGAAUUUUUGGAACUUCUUCACUAGCAUUGCAAGUUCCCUUCCGAUGUCUUCAGGAUCAUCAGAACUGCUGUCAGAUUCUUCUUCAGAUGAGGAAACAACUUUUGCCUUCAAGGCACGAGUUCGCCCAUAGUUUGGACCAUAGAUAUCUCUUUUCUCAGAAAGCUGAAACUCAUGUGUGUUGAGCCUCUCAAGUAUGUCAGACGGAUCGAGCGUCUUGAAAUCAGGACGUUCUUGAAUCAUCAGGGCUAGGAUGUCAAACGAACUAUCAAGUGAUCUCAGCAGCGUCUUGACGAUUUCAUGUUUGGUGAUCUCAGUGGCGCCGAGGGCUUGAAGCUCAUUUGUGAUGUCAGUGAGCCGGUCAAAUGUGUGCUGGACAUUCUCAUUGUCAUUUCGCUUGAAGCAGUUGAAGAGGUUGCGAAGAACACUGAUUCUUUGAUCUCUCUGGGUUGAGAUGCCUUCAUUGACCUUGCAGAGCCAGUCCCAGACCAGCUUGGAUGUCUUCAAGGCACUCACACGGCCAUACUGUCCUUUUGUCAGAUGACCACAGAUGAUAUUUUUGGUGGUAGAGUCCAGUUGAGUGAACUUCUUGACAUCAGCAGCAGUGACACCUUCUCCAGCCUUGGGAACGCCGUUCUCGACGACAUACCAUAGGUCGACGUCAAUGGCUUCAAGAUGCACGCGCAUCUUAUUCUUCCAGUAGGGAUAUUCAAUUCCAUCGAAGACGGGGCACGCAGCGGAGACUUUGAUUAUCCCUGCAGUCGACAUAGCUAAAACUCCAGGUGGUUAAACCGAAUCACACAGAACAAGGGAGCACCUUGCUCUGAUACCAAUUGAAAGUGCGUUAUAUCGACUAGAGGGGGGGUGAAUAGGCGAUUUUUAUGAAAGUCUUCAAAACGUGGGAAUUAUGAAGACAGACAGUGAAGAUAUGCCUAUUACUAUGCAGCAGAAGUUAGAUUACACUAGGCAAGCCAUGGUCAAGUAUUCAAUAGAGUGAAAGCACAAUGACAAAUAGCUGCAGUGUAAUAAGGAUUAGGUAGGAAGAAGUUAUGAAGCCAAACAGAUCAUACAUUCACGUUGUGAAGACAAAAGGUAGAGCAAGCAUGCAAUGACUUCACAAUGAGUAACAGUAAGAAAAGGGGAAGUGAAGAUGAAACCAGUGACUCGUUGAAGACAAUGAUGUGUUGGACCAGUUCCAGUUGUUGUGACAACUGUACGUCUGGUUGGAGCGGCUAGGUAUUUAAACCUUAGGACACACAGUCCCGGACACCCAGUCCUGAACACGCAGCUCAGGACACCAAGUCCUCACCGUAUUCUCCUUGAGCUAAGGUCACAUAGUCCUCGCCCAAUCACUCUGGUAAGUCUUCUAGGUAGACUCCCAAACCUUCACAGACUUCGUUCACUGGCAAUCCACAAUGUCUCUUGGAUGCUCUGAACACGACGCCUAACCGUCUGGGGAUGCACAGUCCUCAAGUGUAAUAAGUCUUCAGAUCACACAGACAAGAAGACUUAAGUGAUGCCCAAUUCUCUCUGGCUUUGGGUGGUUAGGGCUUUUCUCCUCGCUAGGAAUUUUCUCUCAAAGGCUUCGAGGUGGGUUGCUCUCAAACGACAAAAGCCGUGCACUGAAAUUUGAGCAGCCAACCGUUUAUGGUUGCAGGGGGUGGGCUAUUUAUAGCCACUUGGCAACCCGACCUAAUUUGUCCGAAAUAACCCUAGGUCACUAAGGAACUGACACGUGUCUCAACGGUCAGAUUUCAAACUCUCAUGGCAACUUUACUUGGGCUACAAGCAAAGCUGACUUGUCCGGCUCUGGACAAGAUUCACUCUCAUUGUCUUCACUCGAAGACAUAGGUUUUAGGUUUAGGCAUCACUUUAGUCAUUCUGACUGGUUCUCCUGGACCCCACUUAACAAUACGGUGGUUCCUAUGACUCAACACAAAAGAAAAAGAACUACGAAAGAUCUAAGUCUUCGAGCUCCAUAGGCUUCAUAACGUGUCUUCUUUUGUCAUAGUCUUCAAUAUGAAUAUCUUCAUAUACCACCUUUGGCUUUAAUGUCUUCAUACAUUUUUAGGGGUCAUCUCUGGUAGUAAAACCGAAUCAUUGAGGGACUUCUACCUGUGUUAUCCUACAAUUCUCACAAACACAUUAGUCCCUCAACUAGGUUUGUCGUCAAUACUCCAAAACCAACUAGGGGUGGCACUAGAUGCACUUACAACAACCACCAAUGUAUUAUUUUGAUUCUGUGGUAUUUUUGGAUGAAGCGGCCCGGACCAACCUUACAUGACCAUGUUCAUGAGACCAGUUCCACCGACAGACAUGCAACUAGUUUUGCAUAAAGGUGGCUAGCGGGUGUCUGUUUCUCCUACUUUAGUUGAAUCAAGUUUGACUGCGGUCGGUCCUUGAAGAAGGUUAAAAUAACAAACUUGACGAAACACCAUUGUGCUUUGAUGCGUAGGUAAGAAUGGUUCUUGCUAGAAGCCCGUAGCAGCCAUGUAAAGCUUGCAAACAACAAAGUAGAGGACAUCGAACUUGUUUUUGUAGGGCAUGUUGUGAUGAUAUAUGGUCAAGACAUGAUGUGAUAAACGUUAUUGUAUGAGAUGAUCAUGUUUUGUAAGAUAUCUGACAACCGGCAUGAGCCUUAUGGUUGUCUCUUUAUUGUAUGAAAUGCAAAUGCCAUGUAAUUGCUUUACUUUAUCACUAUGCGUUAGCGAUAGUUGUAGAAGCAAUAGUUGGCGAGACGACCAUGAAGCUACGAUGGAGAUCAAGGUGUCGAGUCGGUGACGAUGGAGAUCAUGAUGAUGCUUUGGAGAUGGAGAUAAAAAUCACAAGAUGAUGAUGGCCAUAUCAUGUCACAUAUUUUGAUUGCAUGUGAUGUUUAUCUUUUGUGCAUCUUAUUUUGCUUGGUACGGCGGUAGCAUUAUAAGAUGAUCCCUUAAAAAAAUUUCAAGGUAAAAGUGUUCUCCCUAAGUAUGCACCAUUGCUACAGUUCAUCGUGUUGAGACACCACGUGAUGAUCGGGUGUGAUAGACUCUACGUUCACAUAGAACGGGUGCAAGACAGUUUUGCACAUGCGGAAUACUUGUGUUAAACUUGACGAGCCUAGCAUGUACAGACAUGGCCUCGGAACACUAGAGACCGAAAGAUCAAACGUGAAUCGUAUAGUAGAUAUGAUCAACAUAGAGAUGUUCGCCAUUGAUGACUACUCUAUCUCAUGUGAUGAUUGAUGACCCACAAGUAUAGGGGAUCUAUCGUAGUCCUUUCGAUAAGUAAGAGUGUCGAACCCAAAGAGGAGCAAAAGGAAACGACAAGCAGUUUUCAGUAAGGUAUUCUCUAAAAGCACUGAAAUUAUCGGUAACAGAUAGUUUUGUGAUAAGGUAAUUCGUUAUGGGUAGCAAGUAAUAAAAGUAAACAAGGUGCAGCAACGUGGCCCAAUCCUUUUUGUAGCAAAGGACAAGCCUGGACAAACUCUUAUAUAAAGGAAAGUGCUCCCGAGGACACAUGGGAAUUAUCGUCAAGCUAGUUUUCAUCAUGCUCAUAUGAUUCGCAUUCGUUACUUUGAUAAUUUGAUAUGUGGGUGGACCGGUGCUUGGGUACUGCCCUUCCUUGGACAAGCAUCCCACUUAUGAUUAACCCCUCUUGCAAGCAUCCGCAACUACAAAAGAAGUAUUAAGGUAAACAUAACCAUGGCAUGAAACAUAUGGAUCCAAAUCAGCCCCUUACGAAGCAACGCAUAAACUAGGGUUUAAGCUUCUGUCACUCUAGCAACCCAUCAUAUACUUAUUACUUCCCAAUGCCUUCCCCUAGGCCCAAACAAUGGUGAAGUGUCAAGUAGUCGACGUUCACAUGACACCACUAGAGGAGAGACAACAUACAUCUCAUCAAAAUAUCGAACGAAUACCAAAUUCACAUGACUACUUGCAGCAAGACUUCUCCCAUGUCCUCAGGAACAAACGUAACUACUCACAAAUCAUAUUCAUGUUCAUAAUCAGAGGGGUAUUAAUAUGCAUAAAGGAUUUGAGCAUAUAAUCUUCCACCGAAUAAACCAACUAGCAUCAACUACAAGGAGUAAUCAACACUACUAGCAACUGUGAUGCCCCCUACUCAAUCGUACACUAAUCAUACACGCAAACAUGCACGAUCAAGAUCAGGGACUCACGGGAAGAUAUCACAACACAACUCUACAAAUAAAAUAAGUCAUACAAGCAUCAUAUUACAAGCCAGGGGCCUCGAGGGCUCGAAUACAAGAGCUCGAUCAUAGACGAGUCAGCGGAAACAACAAUAUCUGAGUACAGACAUAAGUUAAACAAGUUUGCCUUAUGAAAGUGCAACUAUCCCUAGGUGGUUUUGGUAAUUCAUAACAACAUAUAGCUCAUUGAGCUAAUGCUAUUCCAAGAUGAUUAUUUCAGGAAAGCUCAAUGAUUGGCAUGGCAUGGAUGUGAAAGUGGAACCCUCAAAAUGCUAAUGACAAAGGAUUGGCUCAAGCUCAAAAGCUCAAGACUCUUCAUUUUAUAUUUUAGUGAUCCAAGAUCACAUUGAGUCUUUAGGAAAAGCCAAUACUAUCAAGGAGGGAUGAGGUGUUGCUUAAUGAGCCUCUUGCUUCAUGUGCUUAGUGAUAUGCUCCAAAACCCUCAACUACUUUCCCAUAUCCACAUAUGACCUAAACCCUAAGCCAAACUCGGUCAUACCGAUUCUUUCUAUCCGGCGCCACCGAGUUUCACUUGUCAUAAGCCACAGCCAAACCCUAGCAAUUCGGUUCUACCGAUAGGGAUCUCGGUCUCACCGAGAUGGGAUUGCAAACUCUCUGCUUCCCUUUCGUAACUUUUCGGUCCCACCGAGAUUGCAAUGUAAAUUCAGUGUUCCAUUUUUCUAACUUUUCGGUCUCACCGAAAGAGCAAAUCGGUCCCACCGAGUUUGCCUGACCAACUCUCUCGUUAGCUAAUUACCAAAAUCGGUCUCACCGAGUUUGUGUAAUCGGUCUCACCGAGAUUAUGUUAUGCCCAAACCCUAACCAUAUCGGUCCUACCGAGUUGCAUGUCAGUCCCACCGAAAAUCUCUAACGGUCACUAGGUUUACCUUUUCGGUCCGACCGAGUUUGUUGAUUCGGUCCCACUGAGAUUGGAAAACUGUGUGUAACGGUUGGAUUUUGUGUCGAGGCUAUAUAUACCCCUCCACCUCCUCUUCAUUCAUGGAGAGAGCCAUCAGAACACAUACACAAUUCCAACUCAUAUGUUCUGAGAGAGAACCACCUACUCAUGUGUUGAAAGCAAGAUAUUCCAUUCCUACCAUAUGAAUCUUGAUCUCUAGCCUUCCCCAAGUUGCUUUCCACUCAAAUCUUCUUUCCACAAAAUCCAAAUCCUAUGAGAGAGAGUUGAGUAUUGGGGAGACUAUCAUUUGAAGCACAAGAGCAAGGAGUUCAUUACCUACACACCAUUUGUUACUUCUUGGAGAGUGGUGUCUCCUAGAUUGGCUAGGUGUCACUUGGGAGCCUCCGACAAGAUUGUGGAGUUGAACCAAGGAGUUUGUAAGGGCAAGGAGAUCGCCUACUUCGUGAAGAUCUACCGCUAGUGAGGCAAGUCCUUCGUGGGCGAUGGCCAUGGUGGGAUAGACAAGGUUGCUACUUCAUGGACCCUUUGUGGGUGGUUGCUUCUUCGUGGACCCUUCGUGGGUGGAGCCCUCCGUGGACUCGCGCAACCAUUACCCUUUGUGGGUGGAGCCCUCCGUGGACUCGCGCAACCGUUACCCUUCGUGGGUUGAAGUCUCCAUCAACGUGGAUGUAGGAUAGCACCACCUAUCCGAACCACGGGAAAAACAUCCGUGUCUCCAAUUGCGUUCCAAUUCUCCAAACCCUUCCCUUUACAUUCUUGCAAGUUGCAUGCUUUACUUUCCGCUGCCAAUAUACUCUUUGCAUGCUUGCUUGAAUUGUGUGAUGAUUGCUUGACUUGUCCUACAAUAGCUAAAAUCUGCCAAGAACUAAAAUUGGGAAAAGGUUAAGUUUUUAUUUGGUCAAGUAGUCUAAUCACCCCCCUCUAGACAUACUUUCGAUCCUACAAGUGGUAUCAGAGCUUUGCUCUCCAUUUGCUUUGAUCUCCAUAGCUUUUGGUGGUCAUAGUCUUGGUUUCACAACCUAGGAGAGUAUGGCGUCUAGCGAGGGAAAUUAUCACCGUAUAGGUCCUUACUUUGAUGGUACUAAUUUUGCUAGUUGGAAGCAUAAAAUGAAAAUGCAUAUUCUUGGACAUAACCCCGCUGUUUGGGCUAUUGUGUGUGUUGGUUUGCAAGGUGACUUCUUUGAUGGGAAAGAACCAAACCGUGAAGCUACCGCGGAUGAGUUGAAGAUGUUGCAAUACAAUGCUCAAGCUUGUGAUAUUCUCUUCAACGGAUUGUGCCCCGAAGAAUUCAACAAAAUCAGCCGUUUUGAGAAUGCAAAGGAAAUUUGGGACACUUUGAUUGAUAUGCACGAAGGAACCGACUCCGUCAAGGAAUCCAAGUUGGAUGUGCUUCAAAGUCAACUUGACAAGUUCAAAAUGAAGGAUGGUGAAGGUGUUGCUGAAAUGUACUCUAGGCUUGCUCUCAUCACAAAUGAGAUUGCCGGCUUAGGAAGUGAAGAGAUGACCGAUAGAUUCAUCAUCAAGAAGAUUCUAAGAGCCUUGGAUGGAAAAUAUGAUACCGUGUGCACAUUGAUCCAAAUGAUGCCAAAUUACAAAGAUCUCAAGCCAACGGAGGUGAUUGGAAGAAUUGUUGCUCAUGAGAUGUCACUUAAGGAUAAAGAGGAACUUCACAACAAAUCAAGUGGUGCCUACAAAGCCUCAUGUGAAGCCCCUACAUCAUCAAGUGAGAAACAAAACUUCAAUGAAGAAUUGAGCUUAAUGGUGAAGAACUUCAACAAGUUCUACAAGAGUAGAAGCAAAGAUAGAAGCUUCAAGUCAAGGUCCUACAAUGACAAAAGAUCGUCUAGUCGAGAGCGAAACUGCUACAGUUGUGGAAGACCCGGACACUAUUCCAAUGAGUGUACGGCUCCCUACAAGAGAAGAGAAGAUUCUCCAAAAAGAAGAAGCAAAGAAUCACCCCAAGAGAGAGAAGGAGUAGAGAUGGUCGUUAUGAACGAAGAUACUCACGAAGAAGCAAGGAUUCGGAAAGGAAGGAAAAAUCAUCAAGGAGCUACACAAAACGAAGACAUCAAGCUCAUGUUGGUGAAUGGGUAUCCGGCUCCGACUCCGACAGCCACUCCGAGAGAAGUUAUCACUCCGACUCCAAAGAUACUCAAGAUGAAGGUGUUGCCGGUCUAGCACUUGUGUCAACCAACUCCUACGACAUAUUUGACUCACCAAAUGAAGGAAUUGGAAGAUGCUUCAUGGCCAAAGGUCCUAAGGUAACACACCCCGAGUAAGUUGAUUUCAAUAGUGAUGAAGAUGACUUGUUAGGUGAUGAUUUGCUUGUUGACAACUCUAGUGAUGAAUACUAUGAUGAAACGUCAAUUAAUCAUGCUAAUCAAGAUAAAACGAAUGACAAUGAUAAGGAGAAGAUUGAGGCUCUAACUAAAGAACUAAACACUCUUAAGUUAGCUCAUGAAACUAUCUUCGAAGAUCAUCGAGAACUUUUAAGAGCUCAUGAGAAAUUACGCUUUGAAAAGCUCAAUCUUGAGCAAGAGCAUGAGUUCUUAAAAGCAAUCAAUGAUGAUCUCCGCAAGAAAAGUUCUUCUUUCAUUGCGAAGCGUUUACUCUUAUCCACUUACAUGCCUCAAGUCAAGUCUAGUAACAAGAACAAGAAAGAUUCUUCCUCUAGCAGUAACAAUGAUCAUGCUAAAUCCAAUAUUGUUGCUUCUAGUAGUUCUCUUGAUUCCACUAACGAUUCUCUUAGCCAAGUUACACUUGACCAAGAAAAUAGCUUAUUGAAGGGAAUUAUAGAGAAAGGAGUGUACAAAAGCCUUGCCGGGAGUAAGAAAUUCAAGGAAAUUGUGCGCAAGCAAGGAAUGCACUGGAAGAAUCAAGGUGUUGCUUUUGAACGAAAGUUCAAUGCCAAUGGAGUUGAGUGGGAAGAAGAUCAAUACCCCAAGACAAAGUUUGUUCCUCAACAAGAGAAGUAUGAUACUUCUUUCAAGGGGACACAAGCUCAAGAUGAUCUUCCACCACAAGACUACAAGCAAAAAGGCAAGGACAAGCUUCAAGAGGAAAUUGAUGCAUUUGAAGAAGCUCCUAAGACCUUAGUCAAGUGGAUUCCCAAGACUACUUCAAGUUCCACUUCAUCAAGUACGACUACAACUCCAAGGAUUCCCAUCAAGAUGGUGUGGAUCCAAAAGAAGAAGAACUAAAGAGUUCUCGAGGGUGACUCCGCCAACAUACUUCACUCUUAUCAUUUUGGCAAGAACAAGUGCAAUCAACUUCCACAUCUUGCACUAGUUCAAGGAGUCACAAACCCUCUUGUUGGUAAGACAAGGGACAAGGUAACCUAAAAGUUUUCAUGGACAUCAUCUUGUGUGUGCAUCACUCUAUGUCUAUGGAUAUCCUUGUUUGUUCCUUGUGGGACUAACCCAUGUAGGUAUUAAAAGUGCAAUUCACUCAAAUGGAUAGCUCCAAGUGAUCUACAUCAACAUUGAGCAUCCACAUCUUCAACAUCUACAUGAAGUCAUCAUCGACAAAACCCGAGGUUAGUUCAUCCCUCUAAGGGGGGAUAUCACAUCUAGGGGGAGCUUUACUCUAAGACUUGAGCUAAAGCAACUCUAAAGAUGUGAACACAACAAUGCUUUAUGUAAAAGUGGUAACCCCACUUAAGCUUAAACGAUGAGUAUGACCUAUGAUCAAGUGUUCUCACUUGACUCCUAAGUCAAUAUACUCAUAUAUAGAUGACCUUGUCAUCACAAAUUGCUUGAUAGAUGCUAUAAUUGGUUGUGCAUGCCUUGUCACAUAUUUCAUUUGCCAUCUUAUUGUGUGAGCAUGCUGAUUGCAUAUUUUACUCAUUCGAGGACAUCCACUUGUUGUUUUGAUUGUUUGGUUUUAUUUCCUUUUGCCAAGUGGAUGGACAAGAAUGCCUAAGAACCUCCUCUAGCUAUCUAUGCUUUUCUCGUCUCAAACUCUAUUCAUGCUACAUCACAAAAUUUGAUCAAGUCAGAUUCGAACCACUCUGUGUGAGGAGCGCUCGGAGUCCCCGAUUCGUCAUAGACUUAAACUUCCAAAACCUCUUUAUGAUUCUCGGUCUGACCGAUACCCCACUUUCGGUCCUCCGAGAUCAUUAAGUUGAUCUAGGUUUUCGAUCUUGGUGCAACCGAUUUGAACCUUUCGGUCACGCCGAGUUGCAACAACUGUAUACAGUUUUGCAUCUCGGUGCCACGAGCUGUUCCACUCGGUCACACCGACAGGGUCGGGCUAUAUAUAGUCACAGGCAAAAAUUUGGAAAUUUCUCCGAACCCCUUCGCCCGCGCGAUAGCUUGCUCUGCCAACAUGGUCUCCGGAUCGUCUCCUCGCCGCCAGCCGCCUCCAGUCGCUGGUCUCUGUCACCGUCAACGGGAAUUCUACCCCGCCGUUGCCGCCGUAGCGAGUCUCCGCCGAACUAGGGUAUGGACUCGAUCUUUGUGCUAUUCCCCAAUCCGAUUCUUAGCACAUUGUGAUCAUCAUGAUUCUUGCCACGAUUGAAACACUCCUAUCCAGUCAAUGCGUUCGUAGAUUAGUUUUGAUUCGAAAAUUUUAGGGUUAGGUUUCCGUCGAAACCAUCUCAGACCCACCGAGUUGAAAAACUCGGUCCCACCGAUUUGGCUUAUGCCAUUGCACAAGUGAGACUCAGUCUGACCAAGAAUUACUUAUCGAUGUGACCGAUUUUGGAACUCUGUGAAACCCUAGCAGUCUCGGUGCCACCAAACUGUGACUCGGUCUGACUGAGUUCACUAGUUUAGGUUCCAAAACUGCUUCGGUAUCACCGAGUUUAAAAAUCGGUAGAUCCGAGAUGAUUUCAAUUGGAAACUAAAACUAAGUUUUUGGAUCAUUCUUUUGCAAAAAUCUCUGCAUUUUGUGAUGCUCAUCUAUUCUACCUCAUCUAUAAACUAUUCAUAGGAUCAGCAGUCAGAGUUUGCAUCAUGUCAGACCAAAGUGAUAGCCAGAACUUGUCAGAGAAGCAAGUGCAGAUGAGUGAGGGCACUAGUCCCUCCAGCUCUUCAGAUGAUGGCAGCAGAAGUACCCCAAGCAAUUUGCCAAAAGCUGCCACCAGACAGAGGAAGAAGAGAACUUCAUAUUCUGAGGAUGAAGAUUAUGUGGCAGAGGAAGAGGAAUCCACAUCAAAGAGAGUUGAGCCAGCAUAGGGCACAAAGCCAGGAUUGAAAAUCAAAAGGCUAGCAGGCAGGCAGCCUAUGUCAAAGGCCAGAGCUUCAACUGAGAAGCCCACUCCCAUAGAGCCAGUUGCUGCUGAAGGCAAGAAAAGAAAGGAAAGGGUGAAGAAGACCGUAGCUAGAGUGCUUGGAAAGGCUUCCAUCAUGGAAGAAGAGGAAGCGGUAGCUGCACUAGCACCUAAGGCACCCAAGCUGAUGGGUGAUGCCAUAAGAUCAGGGGCAGCUGCUUCCAAGGCCAAGCCAGCUCCAAAGCCAAAGCCAAAGAGAAAUACAAGAAGCAUCCCAGCUGCUGAGAAGAACAAGGCCCCAGUGCCUGACACUGCUGAAGAAGAUGAGGAAGAGCAAGUACUGAGAAAGCUCAAGCCCAAGAUCCCAGACCACAAUGAUGCUCAUCCUGUGGCUGAGGAUAUGCAGCUCAGGAGAGACUCAGGGCUAAGGAAGUGGAGAGAAGCAGACCCGUAUGCUUCAAGGAGAAGAACUGCUGUGGAUUACAGGUUUCACACCAAGGAAAAGCAGGACUUCUAUGAGACAGUUUUGUUGGACAAGAAGCCAAUUGUCUGUGAUAUGAGAUGGGUCGACUGGGAAUACAUCAAGGAAAAUGAGGAACACUACCCUAGAGUGCAGGACAGCUUCAAGGCAUGUGGAGUACAGGACUUUGUUGGGCAAAAGCUCACAAAGUGGAAUGAGGAGCUUAUCAUGCAGUUCUACUCCACAGCCCAUUUUUAUCGAGAUGGUAGGAUAACUUGGAUGUCUGAAGGUACGAGGUACCAAUCUACAGUUGCUGAAUGGGCUCAGCUGAUCAAUGCCCUAGAAGAGCAGGAAGAUGACUUGGAUGUAUAUGCCAAGAAGAAGAUGGACCACAACUCUAUGUACAACAUGUACAAGGAAAUUCCAAACGAGGCACUUGAUACUUUCAAGUUUGGGUCUAUGCAUUAUCUUCUGUCAGGGCUGCCAACCAUUAACUGGAUCCUAAGGCACACCUUAUUGCCCAAGUCAGGUGAUCACAAGAUGAUCAGAGGCCAUGCAAUCAAUUUGCUUCAUGUAUUUGCUGUGCCUCAGAAAUUCAAGGUCAUGAGCCUCAUAGUAGAAACUAUCAAGAGGACUGCAGCAGAUCAGAAGAGGAGCUGUGGUUAUGCCCAAUAGAUUCAGGAGCUCAUCUACUGUAAGAUGGGCACAGGCAUAUACUUAUUGGACAAGGAACACCUGCCCAUCCGUCCAGAUUUUGAAGAUAAUCAAGUUGUUAUGACUGAGAAUGAACCACCGUCUGCCCAAGCACAAGCAAAGAAGGAGAAGGCAAGGAAGGAGAAAGCUGCCAAGAUGCCAACUCAAGAGGAGGCAUAUGAGUAUUUCUUGAAAACCAAACAAGAGCAUCUUGGUUACCUAAUUGCAUCCACCCUGCGGAUUGAGAAAGGACUAGCCACCCUAACUCAGAACCAGGCAAGCCUAGAGAGAAUCAUGGAACAAAAGUUCUAUGACUUGGAUGUCAAGGUGACAGAGAUUCAGACUGCAGUGGAGCAGCUCCAGGAUGACAUACAGGAGAGGAGAGGCAAGACUACAACUGGUGCCUUUGCCAGAGUGCCACGAGGUCCGAGGUCGUCUGCAGUGCCAGUUGCUAACCCCAGAGCCACCACGUCUGCACCAGCUACAGCCUCAGUUCAAACAGCUCCAGCAUCUACUUCAGCCUCGACUCCGACCAGGUCUACAGAAGGCUUCGUCCUUGGAGUGCUCCGGACUCCACCACCACCUGAAGAUCAAGCCUGAGAGUCGAUCUAGCACUAUGCAUUUUCUAGGAACUUUUUGGUAACUUGUUGCCAAAGGGGGAGAAAAUGUAUAGAUCAUAGGCUUCGAGAGAGAGAGAGUGUUGCUUUUAUUCUCUCUUGCUUUAUUUGGUGGUUUUUCGAACUUUGUUUGCUUUUGAGUGCUUGAGAUACUAUGUCAUUGCUCGUGAGACAUUGAUGAUCAUGUGUUUGAUCAUAAGCUACACUUAAUGUUUGCUUAAUAUUAUCAUCUUAUCUAUCUUAUGUCAUCAUUCACUAUUCUUGGUGAUGAGUGCAUGUAUUUCAUUCUUAUCAUUUUAAGCGCUCCAUGAAGAUGUAUGUGACAUGGAAGAGUAACCCAUGACUCUAACUCCUUGUGCAUUUGCAGUCCAAAGCAAAUUUUAAAUAUGCACAAAUUUAGGGGGAGCUCUUACUUGUCACAUACUUCUCAAAGCGACGAUAUAUUUCAUGCUUAUUAUCAUUUGUCGAAGCUUUGAUCUAUAUGUUGUCAUCAAUUACCAAAAAGGGGGAGAUUGAAAGUGCAACUAUCCCUAGGUGGUUUUGGUAAUUCAUAACAACAUAUAGCUCAUUGAGAUAAUGCUAUUCCAAGAUGAUUAUUUAAGGAAAGCUCAAUGAUUGGCAUGGCAUGGAUGUGAAAGUGGAACCCUCAAAAUGCUAAGGACAAAGGAUUGGCUCAAGAUCAAAAGCUCAAGACUCUUCAUUUUAUAUUUUAGUGAUCCAAGAUCACAUUGAGUCUUUAGGAAAAUCCAAUACUAUCAAGGAGGGAUGAGGUGUUGCUUAAUGAGCCUCUUGCUUCAUGUGCUUAGUGAUAUGCUCCAAAACUCUCAACUACUUUCCCGUAUCCACAUAUGACCUAAACCCUAAGCCAAACUCGGUCAUACCGAUUCUUUCUAUCCGGCGCCACCGAGUUUCACUUGUCAUAAGCCACUGCCAAACCCUAGCAAUUCAGUUCUACCGAUAGGGAUCUCGGUCUCACCAAGAUGGGAUUACAAACUCUCUAUUUCCCUUUCGUAACUUUUCGGUCUCACCGAAAGAGCGAAUCGGUCCCAUCGAGAUUGCAAUGUAAAUUCAGUGUUUCCUUUUUGUAACUUUUCGGUCUCACCGAAAGAGCAAAUUGGUCCCACCGAGUUUGCCUGACCAACUCUCUGGUUAGCUAAUUACCAAAAUCAGUCUCACCGAGUUUGUGUAAUCGGUCUCACCGAGAUUACGUUAUGCCCAAACCCUAACCAUAUCGGUCCUACCGAGUUGCAUGUCAGUCCCACCGAAAAUCUCUAACGGUCACUAGGUUUACCUUUUCGGUCCGACCGAGUUUGUUGAUUCGGUCCCACCGAGAUUGGAAAACUAUGUGUAACGGUUGGAUUUUGUGUGGAGGCUAUAUAUACCCCUCCACCUCCUCUUCAUUCGUGGAGAGAGCCAUCAGAACACAUACACAAUUCCAACUCAUAUGUUCUGAGAGAGAACCACCUACACAUGUGUUGAG
rnacentral:lncRNA from 1 species